UAACACGUAGGGAACCUGCCCGCGCACCGGGAAUACGCUCUGGAAACGGAGAACAAAUCCCGAUGUACAGGAAGGAGGCAUCUUCUUUCUGUGAAACAUCCUGUAAGGGAUGGGGCGCGGAUGGACCUGCGGUGCAUUAGUUGGUUGGCGAGGGUAAAGGCCCACCAAGACGAUGAUGCAUAGCCGGCCUGAGAGGGCGGACGGCCACAUUGGGACUGAGACACGGCCCAGACUCCUGCGGGAGGCAGCAGUAGGGAAUUUUCGUCAAUGGGCGCAAGCCUGAACGAGCGAUGCCGCGUGAGUGAAGAAGGCCUUCGGGUCGUAAAGCUCUGUUGCGGGGGAAAAAAGGCAUCUGCAGGAAAUGGUANAUGACAGAUGGUGCCCCGCCAGAAAGUCACGGCUAACUACGUGCCAGCAGCCGCGGUAAUACGUAGGUGGCGAGCGUUAUCCGGAAUGAUUGGGCGUAAAGGGUGCGCAGGCGGUCCUGCAAGUCUGGAGUGAAACGUAUGAGCUCAACUCAUGCAUGGCUCUGGAAACUGGAGGACUGGAGAGCAGGAGAGGGCGGUGGAACUCCAUGUGUAGCGGUAAAAUGCGUAGAUAUAUGGAAGAACACCAGUGGCGAAGGCGGCCGCCUGGCCUGUUGCUGACGCUGAGGCACGAAAGCGUGGGGAGCAAAUAGGAUUAGAUACCCUAGUAGUCCACGCCGUAAACGAU
rnacentral:rRNA from 1 species